UCGGGCGGUGUCUACCGAUCUUCCGUAUUGUAAGCAUUCUGUGCUUUGGGGGACAUCAGCAGAGUCUUCAGAAGAAACGAAGUAAGAUUGGAAGUACGUAUUAGCAAUCGGCAAGAUCGGGUUCGAUCCUAGUUCCAGCAGCAUCCAAUAGCAAACCUCCGAGUGUGGUGUACUUCUGUCACGAAAAAACUACGUUUGUGGAAAAGCUCGAACAAAUGCAUAACAAAAAUAACUCCAACGAGGUGGAGCAGUACAACUUAACUGGAUCAGAGUGGUAAUGCAGAGAGUGAGCUGUGUGCUAAAGUGAAUAGAUCGCUGAAAGCAGGCGUGUAGCAUACCUACUCGUAUACUCAGACACACACACACACCAACAUAAAACACCAAAAUGCAUGGGAGUUUUCCAUUCCAUUAAAAAA